rnacentral:rRNA from 1 species
UACGAAGGGGGCUAGCGUUGCUCGGAAUCACUGGGCGUAAAGGGUGCGUAGGCGGGUCUUUUAAGUCAGGGGUGAAAUCCUGGAGCUCAACUCCAGAACUGCCUUUGAUACUGAAGAUCUUGAGUUCGGGAGAGGUGAGUGGAACUGCGAGUGUAGAGGUGAAAUUCGUAGAUAUUCGCAAGAACACCAGUGGCGAAGGCGGCUCACUGGACCGGAACUGACGCUGAGGCGCGAAAGCGUGGGGGAGCAAACAGG